rnacentral:lncRNA from 13 species
UGUGUCUCUAGUACUAUACUUUUAGUUUAGUGUGUCUGUAGCAAUAUACUUUUAGUUUAGUGUGUCUGUAAUACUAUACUUUUAGUUUAGGGUGUCUGUAGUACUUUUAGGUUAGUCCAUCUCUAGAACCGUACGUUUAGGUUAGUGUGUCUCUAAUACUAUGCUUUUCACCCUAAAGAAAUGUACAGAAUGCCCCAAAUUCAUCCACCCAUUAGACGCCUCCCAAUCCAAUGGACUUGUUUGUGUGCAAUAUUUUAUUUACAGGGUUUUAGAAGACUCACAUCCUACUACAGCACUAGAGCACUGGAGCUUGUGGCAGUUUGGAAUUGGGAGGAUGGCAGCCUCUUCAUCUUUACUGGGUCAUAGACAUUUUUGUAGAUGUUUAUGAACGGUCUAUGAGAUGAACAUUAACCUUGGACACUGAUGGAGUAAUGAGUACUACCAAGAGAACUGGAAGAGGUGCUCAUAUAACUGUCUUUAGUAGUCAGUGCUAAGUCAAUGCCAGCCCCCGUCUUCUCUCUUGGACAGAAAGUUAUCGUGCUUCCUGAAUCUUUCAGCGCUGUGGCAGGAAGUCCUUCGGCCGUUGAAGGGCUUCGCUGUACUUUGGCGAUCAGAUGUCCUCAAAUUACAUUCUAAAACAGUGCAAACAGACACCUGGCCAUUACUAAUUGAAGGGAAGCUUUGUUUUGGAACAGCGAUCGUGACAUCUGUGACACUACACAGGACUUGUUCUACAUCCAUUGGCACACACCUCAUCUCGCUUUAGAGUACAGUGGGAAAGCCACUAAGAUCCAUCAGAGGGCCUUUGGCAGCGACCACCCCGUCACAGACAAGAGUCUGGAGCUGCUGGCCACCGUCUACGCAGAAAUUGGCAAAACAGAAUACUCAGAUUCCCUAGGCCAGUGUGUGUCAGCGCUUUCCAAGAGGUUUGCUACUGCCGAGUCCUUCAGAGACACACUCAACAACGGUCUUUCCCAUUCCCAUUCCCACCGGGAUAAACGCUCUGAGGUCCGGCACAGGAAAGACCCCCGCCCACUGUUGGACACACCAAAACCCAAGGUCACCAACGGUAAAAUCCCCAUGUCCAUACUGAAGAGAUCUGGCUCAGGAUCAGACUCAGAGCCCAGCCACAGACGGAAAGGCGAGCGGCGGGUCCGGUUCAGGGAGCCUGAAACCACUGUGCAUGCCUAUGACACAUCACCGCCCAGCCCCCACCUGGCCCUGUUCACUUGCCUGUUCCUGCUGAUGUCACUGCUGGGCGUGGCCAUGUUCUGCACGGACCGCCGGCGCCCACAGCGUGUCUGUGAGGAGCUGGAGGCCUCGCUGGCUGUCUACCUGAUACACAUAAAACAGCUGCUGUGGGGCUGCUGGAUCUGGCUAACCAUGCAGUGA